UACGGGGGGGGCAAGCGUUGUUCGGAAUUACUGGGCGUAAAGGGCUCGUAGGCGGCCAACUAAGUCAGACGUGAAAUCCCUCGGCUUAACCGGGGAACUGCAUCUGAUACUGGAUGGCUUGAGAUUGGGAGAGGGAUGCGGAAUUCCAGGUGUAGCGGUGAAAUGCGUAGAUAUCUGGAGGAACACCGGUGGCGAAGGCGGCAUCCUGGACCAACACUGACGCUGAGGCGCGAAAGCGUGGGGAGCGAACCGG
rnacentral:rRNA from 1 species